rnacentral:rRNA from 1 species
UGGUGGAGUGAUUUGUCUGGUUAAUUCCGUUAACGAACGAGACCUUAACCUGCUAAAUAUGCCGCGCUAACCCGUCCAUCAAAACCUAUGUGUGACUCACGCGGUUCGCUGCACACUAAUGUUGCCCGUUAAAACGGUGAUGUUAGGGUGCCGGCAGGGCCCGGGUUCAUAUAGGCGGUAGGGUUCGGCGUCUGUGCUUCUUAGAGGGACUGCUGCGCGCCUAGCCAGCGGAAGUUUGAGGCAAUAACA